CACGUAGGGGGCGAGCGUUGUCCGGAUUUAUUGGGCGUAAAGAGCUCGUAGGCGGUUCGGCAAGUCGGGUGUGAAAUUUCGAGGCUCAACCUCGAAACGCCACUCGAUACUGCUGUGACUGGAGUCCGGUAGAGGAGUGCGGAAUUCCUGGUGUAGCGGUGAAAUGCGCAGAUAUCAGGAAGAACACCCGUGGCGAAGGCGGCUCUCUGGGACGGUACUGACGCUGAGACGCGAAAGCGUGGGGAGCGAACAGG
rnacentral:rRNA from 1 species